AUAUGUAUUUACAGUGAAAAUCUGACAGUAUUGAUUUUAAUUUUUCUUUGUUAACUAAUUUUUUUUUUGUAUGUGUUCCAAACCUUUAUUAUUCAAUUCAAUUAUUUGUCCCAUUUGAAAUUAGCCUUGCGGGGGUAUUAAUCCCAUUAGGACAGUUCUAGUUCUUUCUGUUAAUUCAGCAUACUAACAGUGGGACCCUGUUCAGAUGCCAUCGGUAUUGAGAUACGACAAAAAUAUUACAAACUUUCAGAUCGUUUAUAACAAAAUAGGCCUAUAUUGAAAGCUCUAGUCACAUAGCACCUUGAGUUAUGAUAACCAAGAACAUGUCGUUUAAACAGGUGAACAUUUUUAAAACAUUGUAAAUGUGGACUACCAAGUACAAAAAUAGCAUGGCGGCAUUAUGAUCAACACAGACUUGGAAGUGUCCAUCUCAGAUCUAAAUUCAUGAACAUUAGAAAAAUAUCGUAUAUCCAAUGUUACAGAAAAUGGUAUAACGUGAUAAGUAACGUUUACUACAAUGAACUCAGUACUACCUUAAUACUGAUAUCAGUUUUAAUUUAAAUUUGUUUCAGCUUCUUUAAAUCACAAUUUAAAAUGUUGAUGCAGGAGAAAUAUUUAUGAUUAUUAUUUCGUGGCUUAAUAUCUGUACUUUUUAUCAAUCGGGGAGGGGGAUAUUUGACCCGCUUCUUGUUAGAUAAAGAUUUGAUUUAAAUAUUUUUGAAUACG
rnacentral:misc_RNA from 1 species